UUUAAUUCGAAGCAACGCGCAGAACCUUACCAGCCUUUGACAUGGCGGGACGGCAUCGAGAGAUCGGUGUCUUCACUUCGGUGACCCGCGCACAGGUGCUGCAUGGCUGUCGUCAGCUCGUGUCGUGAGAUGUUGGGUUAAGUCCCGCAACGAGCGCAACCCACGUCCUCAGUUGCCAUCAUUGAGUUGGGCACUCUGGGGAGACUGCCGGUGAUAAGCCGCGAAGAAGGUGUGGAUGACGUCAAGUCCUCAUGGCCCUUACGGGCUGGGCUACACACGUGCUACAAUGGCGGUGACAGAGGGACGCCAACCCGCGAGGGUGCGCCAAUCUCGAAAAGCCGUCUCAGUUCGGAUUGCACUCUGCAACUCGAGUGCAUGAAGUUGGAAUCGCUAGUAAUCGUGGAUCAGCACGCCA
rnacentral:rRNA from 1 species